ACGGAAGGCAGCAGUGAGGAAUAUUGGUCAAUGGGCGGAAGCCUGAACCAGCCAAGUCGCGUGAAGGAUGAAGGUAUUAUGUAUUGUAAACUUCUUUAGCAGCAGAGUAAUAAGGGGGUCGUGACCCCCGAUGCAAGUAUGCUGAAAAUAAGGAUCGGCUAACUCCGUGCCAGCAGCCGCGGUAAUACGGAGGAUCCGAGCGUUAUCCGGAUUUAUUGGGUUUAAAGGGUGCGCAGGCGGUUUUUUAAGUCAGUGGUUAAAUCGUGAGGCUCAACCUCAUCACGCCAUUGAUACUGGAAGACUUGAUUGCGGUUGAGGUUGGCGGAAUUCGUCGUGUAGCGGUGAAAUGCAUAGAUAUGACGAAGAACACCGAUUGCGUAGGCAGCUGACCAAGCCGUAAAUGACGCUCAUGCACGAAAGUGCGGGGAUCGAACAGAAUUAGAUACCCUGGUA
rnacentral:rRNA from 1 species